ensembl:lncRNA
UCUGAUUUAGCUGAACUCCAAAGGGAAUUGGAGUUUCCUUCAUUAAACAGUCCAAAAUCACAUGACACAAUUUCACAAACAGUAUCAUCCUCACUCAUUCAUCUUAUACAACAAUUAGAUGUAAGCCUUAUAUCUGAGGCUAUUGUAUAAACAGCGUUAUGGUAAUGUGGCCGUAUUGCCUCUCAUGAGUUUCACAAAAUUGUACCAAACGGACCAGUUCGUUGCUGGAUUCUUCACCGAUCUUUUAUACGUUCUCCAGAACAUAAAUACUGUUUGGACCUCCAGUUCUGUGAGGUGGAAGAAAUUCCUUUGUUCUCUCUAUGAAAACUCACUCUCUCUCUAUACUGUGGCCAUGAGGAGAUAAUCUUCUCCAGGAAUUUACGACCUGAGGUUGCAGCAGCCUGAGUGUAGGAGACAGAGAGAGGGGGAUGGUGCUCGCUGUAACCAAAGAGGGCAACGUCAUGACAGAGGACCUUGAACAUGGCUGAGGUGCACCCAUGACCAGCUCGGAAGCCAGAUUGCAUAGUGGAGUUGAAACCGGGAUUCAUACUUGAAGAGCAUACUUCUCCAGCGUGCCAGUGGCCAUCGAAGUUUCAUCAGCUGUCCGAGUGGCUGGUCUCAGACGAUCCUGGAGGUGAUGAAGUCCGUUGUGGAGGUCCUGGGCUGGUGUGGUUACAUGUGGUCUGCGGUUUUGAGGCCGGUUGGACGUACUGCCAAAUUCCUUAAAACGUUGGAGGGGCCCUAUGGUAAAGAAAUUAACAUUCAAUUCACUGGCAACAGCUCUGGUGGACAUUCCUGCAGUCAGCAUGCCAAUUGCACGCUCCCUCAAAACUUGAGACAUCUGUAGCAUUGUGUUGUGUGACAAAACUGCACAUUUUAGAGUGGCCCAGCAUAAGGUGCACCUGUGUAAUGAUCAUGCUGUUUAAUCACCUUCUUGAUAUGCCACACCUGUCAGGUGGAUGAAUUAUACUGGCAAAGGAGAAAUUCUCACUAAGAGGGAUGUAAACACAUUUGUGCACAACAUUCAAGAUAAAUAAGAUUUUUGUGCGUAUGGAACAUUUCUGCGAUCUUUUAUUUCAGCUUAUGAAACAUGGGACCAACACUUUACGUGUUGCGUUUAUAUUUUUGUUCAGUGUAUUAUGUAGGCCUACCUGUUUGAGCUCCUGUUAGACAGAUUCAAUUUAAUUUCUCAAGAGGAGGCUGUACAGUCUUUCCCUCUACCUGUGUCUGUUCAGAUAGGACAUGUUUUAAGCAUGAUACAGAGGCUAUUUCUUUUGGGCAAUUCUUGCGUAUAUUUGCUAAAGCUACUUGUAUUUUUCAUACGAUAUUGUGCUUUCACCACUGGAUAACCAAGAUCUAUAAAUAAAUGUACACUCUGAGCACGUCAUCUUGCCUUGCCUUCUGCUGAUUUCAUGGCCUUAUGACUGAUACAAGGUCCCUAUUUUACAUUUACACAAAAUAAUGAAAAGGGCUGUCUGGUAGACUCAAUAAAUCGCCAAAAUAAUGAAAAGGGCUGUCUGGUAGACUCAAUAAAUCGCCAAAAUAAUGAAAAGGGCUGUCUAGUAGACUCAAUAAAU